rnacentral:rRNA from 1 species
CGGACGGGUGAGUAACGCGUGGGUAACCUGCCAUAUACAGGGGGAUAACACUUAGAAAUAGGUGCUAAUACCGCAUAAGCGCACAGGGGCGCAUGCCCCGGUGUGAAAAACUCCGGUGGUAUAUGAUGGACCCGCGUCUGAUUAGCCAGUUGGCAGGGUAACGGCCUACCAAAGCGACGAUCAGUAGCCGGCCUGAGAGGGCGGACGGCCACAUUGGGACUGAGACACGGCCCAAACUCCUACGGAAGGCAGCAG